UCCUGGUUAACCCAGGCAGUCUCACUAGAGUUCCCACCAUUACGUGUUGGCAACUAGUGAUAAGGGUUGCGCUCGUUGCUGGACUUAACCAAACACCUCACGGCACGAGCUGACGACAGCCAUGCAGCACCUGUUCAGCGGCUCCGAAGAGAGAUCACAUUUCUGUGACUGUCCACUGUAUGUCAAGUCUGGGUAAGGUUCUUCGCGUUGCAUCGAAUUAAACCACAUACUCCACUGCUUGUGCGGGUCCCCGUCAAUUCUUUUGAGUUUCACCCUUGCGAGCGUACUCCCCAGGCGGUAUACUUAUCGCGUUAGCUACGGCACAACCAGGGUUGAGUCCGGUUACACCAAGUAUACAUAGUUUACAGUAAGGACUAC
rnacentral:misc_RNA from 1 species